rnacentral:lncRNA from 1 species
AGAAUAAAAGGCUCUAUGAGGAGUAAAUGGUUAAAUUAUGGGGCAAAGUCACAUGGACUGUGUGAGAAUCAAAUGGUUAAAGAAGAAGCUUAGAUCAGUAAAGCAUGUUGUGUCUGGCCAUGUCCUUCUCUGUUCUCCAUGAAAAAUGGCCAUGCCUUGAGAUAACUCCUGGACCAAGCUGCUUGUAUCUGCUCUUCCUCUUGCACUGAGAUUUUAAAUAAAGGUGACAAGAUCACUGACUCAUGGUUACAUGAAAGUCUGCUGGCAGCCAGUCAAGUUUGAAAAUAGAACAGUCUGAGACCAAAGGAAAAAUGACAGAAGGAACCUUUAAAAUCCAAGCAACUGCAGACAAGUUUGUUAUAAAAAGGUUUAUAGCAGAAGCAAGUGGUGUUUGGCCCCAUGGACCUGCUGUCAUCCAGAGCUCAUGUCCUGCUGAAGGUCUGGAUGUGGCUCACCCUCCUCUGAUGUCUGAGAUGGAACUUUCAAUGUUUCAUCACUGAAGAGGCUACAUGUGUUCUCCAGCUUUAUCUAGGUAUAGGUGACAAUUAUAUAUUUAUAUAAGGUGCAAAUUUGAUUUACUUUCUGUAUUUGUCAUCAAAUAUUUCCUCCAACCAAGCUUACUAACAUAUCUACAUGUCUUUUUAAAAUAUAAUAGUAUCUGGGUCAUCUUCAUAGCUACUUUCAAGGAAACAAGAUCUCUUUCAAAUUUAUAUUUAAAUGACACAGUUGCAAAAGUAGGAUGUCAAAAAUUCUGAAUGUUGGAAUAUGAAUUUCUUUUGCCCUAUUUUCUCUGUUUAUUUAGAUUUAUGUAGAUUUUUCUGUCAAGAUUUAUUUUCCUCCAGAUAUUUUAAUGAAUAAGAAGAUUAAUUUGUAAUUCCCAUUCUCAAUUUAUAAAUUACUCCAGUUCUUCUUUGUUUUAACUCUCUACCUA